rnacentral:tRNA from 1 species
UCCAGGGUAGCCUAGUGGACAUGGCAUCUGCCUGGUGAGCGGAACGUUGUGGGUUCGAUUCCCGCCCCUGGAC